rnacentral:rRNA from 1 species
GACGAACGCUGGCGGCGUGCUUAACACAUGCAAGUCGAACGGAGUGGCGAACGGGUGAGUAACUCGUGGGUGACAUGCCCCGCACUGCGGGGUACUCCUGGGUAAAUGGGUCUAAUACCUGAUAGUUUGGGAUGGGCCUGCGGCCACUCAGCUUGUUGGUGGGGUAUUGGCCUACCAUGGCGGCGACGGGUUGCCGACCUUAGAGGGUGGACGGCCACAUUGUGACUGAGACAGGGACCAGUGGGCUACGGGAGGCAUCGGUGGCGAAUAUUGCGCAAUUGGCGGAAGCCUGAUGCAGCGACGCCGCGUGGGGAAUGACGGCCUUCGGGGGGUAAACUCCUUGCACCUUCGACGCGGUAGCUGGAGAAGAAGCACCGGCUAACUACGUGCCAGCAGCCGCGGUAAUAC